GCCGUUAUGGUGAAAUUGCUAAACACGCUGCUUUUAGGAAGGUUAGAGCAUCUCGGUUCGAGUCCGAGUAGCGACA
rnacentral:tRNA from 2 species